AAAAUGCGAUAAGUAAUGUGAAUUGCAGAAUUCAGUGAAUCAUCGAAUCUUUGAACGCACAUUGCGCCCGCCAGUAUUCUGGCGGGCAUGCCUGUUCGAGCGUCAUUUCAACCCUCAAGCCCCCGGGUUUGGUGUUAGGGAUCGGGCUGCGGUUCUACCGCGUCCCGGCCCCGAAAUCUAGUGGCGGUCUCGCUGCAGCCUCCAUUGCGUAGUAGCUAACACCUCGCAACUGGAACGCGGCGCGGCCAAGCCGUUAAACCCCCAACUUCUGAAUGUUGACCUCGGAUCAGGUAGGAAUACCCGCUGAACUUAAGC
rnacentral:misc_RNA from 1 species